GAGUUUGACUCCUGGCUCAGGACGACGCUGGCGGCGUGCUUAACACAUGCAAGUCGAGCGGUAAGGCCCUUCGGGGUACACGAGCGGCGAACGGGUGAGUAACACGUGGGUGAUCUGCCUUGCACUCUGGGAUAAGCCUGGGAAACUGGGUCUAAUACCGGAUAUGACCUUCGGUUGCAUGACCGGGGGUGGAAAGAUUUAUCGGUGCAAGAUGAGCCCGCGGCCUAUCAGCUUGUUGGUGGGGUAAUGGCCUACCAAGGCGACGACGGGUAGCCGGCCUGAGAGGGCGACCGGCCACACUGGGACUGAGACACGGCCCAGACUCCUACGGGAGGCAGCAGUGGGGAAUAUUGCACAAUGGGCGGAAGCCUGAUGCAGCGACGCCGCGUGAGGGAUGACGGCCUUCGGGUUGUAAACCUCUUUCGACUCCGACGAAGCGAGAGUGACGGUAGGAGUAUAAGAAGCACCGGCCAACUACGUG
rnacentral:rRNA from 1 species